AAACUUUCAACAACGGAUCUCUUGGUUCUCGCAUCGAUGAAGAACGCAGCGAAAUGCGAUAAGUAGUGUGAAUUGCAGAAUUCAGUGAAUCAUCGAAUCUUUGAACGCACAUUGCGCCUCCCGGUAUUCCGGGAGGCAUGCCUGUUCGAGCGUCAUUA
rnacentral:rRNA from 1 species